rnacentral:lncRNA from 1 species
GACCUCGACCAGGACACAAACUCAACACUACGGACUCUGAAACUGAAAUAUGCAAAGGCUAUGGCGCGGAUGGGUUGUAGGACAUGAAAACAAUAUGGCACCAGACUUAUGGGACGAACACAAGGACACUCGAAACUAAGGGUAGAUGUGAACCUAACGUUAUGUCUGAAGCUUUGAUUACCACUUGAGGAGAAUAAGUGUGGCCCGAUCUUCCGAAAGUUUCUGGCAACUAUCGAUUUGGUGGAAAAGAGACACAAAUCAAUCCAGCUUGCGAACAACACGGUUCGAAACCUGCAAUUCUUUUUAUUUUUUUUUGAUAUUUUUCUUUUACUUAGGAGCACUCAAGAAGUAACCACAGGAAAUUUGAGCUUGAACAAGAGAAAGACGUGGCCUGUGGAAACUUUUGA